rnacentral:tRNA from 1 species
GCGGAAGUAGCUCAGUUGGUAGAGCACAACCUUGCCAAGGUUGGGGUCGCGAGUUCGAGUCUCGUUUUCCGCUC